rnacentral:antisense_RNA from 1 species
AUCAUAAGCUAUCAUAGGAGAAGCAAGAUUUCAGAACCUUUUUUAAACACAAGUGCUUGAGAUUGUUUGAACAAUGUGUGUCAAGACAGACUACUAACGCAGAAACACCUCACUGAAAGAAACAACAAAAAUAACAACAAAGAGAAAACUAGAUGUAUAAAAAAAAAAAGUUAUGGCAAAACUAAUACGAUUUUAAAAAAUCAUUGUGUUCCUGAAGAAACAAAGAACUGGUUUUCUUCUAAGGAAUUAGAGAGUUUUGUUUCUUUGG